rnacentral:sRNA from 1 species
ACAGUCAUCGCUGCAAACUCGUGCUCCGAGCGCUGCGCUCCCCUGUGGAGCGGAGGAGGGGAGGCCUGGGGCCGCGGCAGUGUGCGCCCCGCUCUGACCGCAGAGCCCCCUUCCCGAGGAAGGCAGCUGGCCCGGUCCCGGCUGGCGAUCACCCGGGGCCCCUGUCUGCUUGGUGCGCAGGUGAGGGUCUGCCCUUCCGCUGCGCCCCGGACAGCCUGGAGGUGAGCACACGCUGGGCCCUGGACCGCGAGCAGCGGGAGAAGUACGAGCUGGUGGCCGUGUGCACUGUGCACGCCGGCGCGCGCGAGGAGGUGGUGAUGGUGCCCUUCCCGGUGACCGUGUACGACGAGGACGACUCGGCGCCCACCUUCCCCGCGGGCGUCGACACCGCCAGCGCCGUGGUGGAGUUCAAGCGGAAGGAGGACACCGUGGUGGCCACGCUGCGUGUCUUCGAUGCAGACGUGGUACCUGCAUCAGGGGAGCUGGUGAGGCGGUACACAAGCACGCUGCUCCCCGGGGACACCUGGGCCCAGCAGA